UUAAAUUGAAGAGUUUGAUCAUGGCUCAGAUUGAACGCUGGCGGCAGGCCUAACACAUGCAAGUCGAACGGUAACAGGAAGAAGCUUGCUUCUUUGCUGACGAGUGGCGGACGGGUGAGUAAUGUCUGGGAAACUGCCUGAUGGAGGGGGAUAACUACUGGAAACGGUAGCUAAUACCGCAUAACGUCGCAAGACCAAAGAGGGGGACCUUCGGGCCUCUUGCCAUCGGAUGUGCCCAGAUGGGAUUAGCUUGUUGGUGGGGUAACGGCUCACCAAGGCGACGAUCCCUAGCUGGUCUGAGAGGAUGACCAGCCACACUGGAACUGAGACACGGUCCAGACUCCUACGGGAGGCAGCAGUGGGGAAUAUUGCACAAUGGGCGCAAGCCUGAUGCAGCCAUGCCGCGUGUAUGAAGAAGGCCUUCGGGUUGUAAAGUACUUUCAGCGGGGAGGAAGGGAGUAAAGUUAAUACCUUUGCUCAUUGACGUUACCCGCAGAAGAAGCACCGGCUAACUCCGUGCCAGCAGCCGCGGUAAUACGGAGGGUGCAAGCGUUAAUCGGAAUUACUGGGCGUAAAGCGCACGCAGACGGUUUGUUAAGUCAGAUGUGAAAUCCCCGGGCUCAACCUGGGAACUGCAUCUGAUACUGGCAAGCUUGAGUCUCGUAGAGGGGGGUAGAAUUCCAGGUGUAGCGGUGAAAUGCGUAGAGAUCUGGAGGAAUACCGGUGGCGAAGGCGGCCCCCUGGACGAAGACUGACGCUCAGGUGCGAAAGCGUGGGGAGCAAACAGGAUUAGAUACCCUGGUAGUCCACGCCGUAAACGAUGUCGACUUGGAGGUUGUGCCCUUGAGGCGUGGCUUCCGGAGCUAACGCGUUAAGUCGACCGCCUGGGGAGUACGGCCGCAAGGUUAAAACUCAAAUGAAUUGACGGGGGCCCGCACAAGCGGUGGAGCAUGUGGUUUAAUUCGAUGCAACGCGAAGAACCUUACCUGGUCUUGACAUCCACGGAAGUUUUCAGAGAUGAGAAUGUGCCUUCGGGAACCGUGAGACAGGUGCUGCAUGGCUGUCGUCAGCUCGUGUUGUGAAAUGUUGGGUUAAGUCCCGCAACGAGCGCAACCCUUAUCCUUUGUUGCCAGCGGUCCGGCCGGGAACUCAAAGGAGACUGCCAGUGAUAAACUGGAGGAAGGUGGGGAUGACGUCAAGUCAUCAUGGCCCUUACGACCAGGGCUACACACGUGCUACAAUGGCGCAUACAAAGAGAAGCGACCUCGCGAGAGCAAGCGGACCUCAUAAAGUGCGUCGUAGUCCGGAUUGGAGUCUGCAACUCGACUCCAUGAAGUCGGAAUCGCUAGUAAUCGUGGAUCAGAAUGCCACGGUGAAUACGUUCCCGGGCCUUGUACACACCGCCCGUCACACCAUGGGAGUGGGUUGCAAAAGAAGUAGGUAGCUUAACCUUCGGGAGGGCGCUUACCACUUUGUGAUUCAUGACUGGGGUGAAGUCGUAACAAGGUAACCGUAGGGGAACCUGCGGUUGGAUCACCUCCUUACCUUAAAGAAGC
rnacentral:rRNA from 1 species